rnacentral:rRNA from 1 species
GACGAACGCUGGCGGCGUGCUUAACACAUGCAAGUCGAACGAAGUGGCGAACGGGUGAGUAACGCGUAAUCAACCUGCCCUUCAGAGGGGGACAACAGUUGGAAACGACUGCUGAUACCGCAUACUGAAGGAGGGGAUUGCGUCGGAUUAGCUAGGUGGGGGGGAAACGGCCCACCAAGGCGAUGAUGAGUAGCCGGCCUGAGAGGAGUAUCGGCCACAUUGGGACUUAGACACGGCCCAGACUCCUACGGGAGGCAGCAGUGGGGAAUCUUCCGCAAUGGACGAAAGUCUGACGGAGCAACGCCGCGUGAGUGAUGACGGCCUUCGGGUUGUAAAGCUCUGUUAAUCGGGACGCGGUACCGGAAUAGAAAGCCACGGCUAACUACGUGCCAGCAGCCGCGGUAAUUC